UUUUGCCUACGGGGGGCAGCAGUGGGGAAUAUUGGGCAAUGGGCGCAAGCCUGACCCAGCAACGCCGCGUGAAGGAAGAAGGCUUUCGGGUUGUAAACUUCUUUUCUGAGGGACGAAGAAAGUGACGGUACCUCAGGAAUAAGCCACGGCUAACUACGUGCCAGCAGCCGCGGUAAUACGUAGGUGGCAAGCGUUAUCCGGAUUUAUUGGGUGUAAAGGGCGUGUAGGCGGGAAAGCAAGUCAGAUGUGAAAAC
rnacentral:rRNA from 1 species